rfam:Piscirickettsia salmonis strain PM15972A1, complete genome.
UUUUGGUUCUCUCGCAACACUAGAUUGUGAACCCCGUCAGGCCCGGAAGGGAGCAGCGGUAGUGAUUGAUGUGUGUGCCGGGAGUCGGCUGAGAAAG